GAUGUAGCAACGCCGCGUGGAGGAUGACGGAGUUAGGUCUGUAAACUCCUUUUAUAAGGGAAGAAAUUUGACGGUACCUUAUGAAUAAGCACCGGCUAACUCCGUGCCAGCAGCCGCGGUAAUACGGGGGGUGCAAGCGUUACUCGGAAUCACUGGGCGUAAAGGGAGCGUAGGCGUUUUAUUAAGUCUUGAGUGAAAGCUCGCGGCUCAACUGCGGAACUGCUCAGGAAACUG
rnacentral:rRNA from 1 species